rnacentral:tRNA from 1 species
AUUUAAGUAGUUUAAUAAAAUAAUAGUUUGUGGGGCUAUUGAUAUACAGGGAUGUAUCUUAAAUC